UUUCCGUAGGUGAACCUGCGGAAGGAUCAUUAUCGAUUUCGGUUUACACCGUUUUCUACCUUUGUCUAUGCGUACCACACGUUUCCUCGGGGGGCUUGCCCCCCGUUAGGACAUUUUAUCAACCUUUUUGUAAUAGCAGUCAGCGUCUGAAAUAAUUUAAUUAUUAAAACUUUCAACAACGGAUCUCUUGGUUCUGGCAUCGAUGAAGAACGCAGC
rnacentral:misc_RNA from 1 species